UACGAGAGGCCCAAACAUUAUUCGGAAUUACUGGGCUUAAAGAGUUCGUAGGCGGCAUGGUAAGUAGGGUGUGAAAGUCCAGGGCUCAACCCUGGGAUGCCGGUGGAUACUGUCGGGCUCGAGUCCGGAAGAGGAGUGUGGAAUUCCUGGUGUAGCGGUGGAAUGCGCAGAUAUCAGGAGGAACACCGGUGGCGAAGGCGGUUCUCUGGGCCUUACCUGACGCUGAGGAGCGAAAGCGUGGGGAGCGAACAGG
rnacentral:rRNA from 1 species